rnacentral:tRNA from 1 species
ACCCUGUGGCACAAUGGGUCAGUGCAUCUGGCUGUUAACCAGAAGGUUGAUGGCUCAAGCCCACCCAUGGAUG